CAGUAGCCGCGGGUAAUACGUAGGUGGCAAGCGUUGUCCGGAAUUAUUGGGCGUAAAGCGCACGCAGGUGGUUUAAUAAGUCUGAUGUGAAAGCCCACGGCUCAACCGUGGAGGGUCAUUGGAAACUGUUAAACUUGAGUGCAGGAGAGAAAAGUGGAAUUCCUAGUGUAGCGGUGAAAUGCGUAGAGAUUAGGAGGAACACCAAUGGCGAAGGCGGCUUCUUGGCCUGUAACUGACACUGAGGCGCGAAAGCGUGGGGAGCAAACAGGAUUAGAUACCCCCGUAGUCCCUGUCUCUUAUA
rnacentral:rRNA from 1 species